rnacentral:rRNA from 1 species
UUGCACGCUGGCGGCAGGCUUAACACAUGCAGGUCGAGCGGGGAAAGGUAGCUUGCUCCCUGACCUAGCGGCGGACGGGUGAGUAAUGCUUAGGAAUCUGCCUAUUAGUGGGGGACAACAUCUCGAAAGGGAUGCUAAUACCGCAUACGUCCUACGGGAGAAAGCAGGGGACCUUCGGGCCUUGCGCUAAUAGAUGAGCCUAAGUCGGAUUAGCUAGUUGGUGGGGUAAAGGCCUACCAAGGCGACGAUCUGUAGCGGGUCUGAGAGGAUGAUCCGCCACACUGGGACUGAGACACGGCCCAGACUCCUACGGGAGGCAGCAGUGGGGAAUAUUGGACAAUGGGGGGAACCCUGAUCCAGCCAUGCCGCGUGUGUGAAGAAGGCCUUUUGGUUGUAAAGCACUUUAAGCGAGGAGGAGGCUACCGAGAUUAAUACUCUUGGAUAGUGGACGUUACUCGCAGAAUAAGCACCGGCUAACUCUGUG